GACGGGUAUCCGGCUGGAGAGGGUGAACGGACACACUGGAACUGAGACACGGUCCAGACUCCUACGGGAGGCAGCAGUAGGGAAUAUUGCUCAAUGGGGGAAACCCUGAAGCAGCAACGCCGCGUGGAGGAUGAAGGUUUUAGGAUUGUAAACUCCUUUUGUUAGAGAAGAUUAUGACGGUAUCUAACGAAUAAGCACCGGCUAACUCGUCCAGCAGCGCGGUAAUACGGAGGGUGCAAGCGUACUCGGAAUCCUGGGCGUAAAGAGUCGCAGGCGGGAUAGCAAGUCAGAUGUGAAAUUAUGGCUUACCAUAGAACUGCAUUUGAACUGUUAUUCUA
rnacentral:rRNA from 1 species